rnacentral:rRNA from 1 species
GACGAACGCUGGCGGCGUGCCUAAUACAUGCAAGUGGGACGCAAGGGAACACACUGUGCUUGCACACCGUGUUUUCUUGAGUCGCGAACGGGUGAGUAACGCGUAGGUAACCUGCCUAUUAGCGGGGGAUAACUAUUGGAAACGAUAGCUAAUACCGCAUAAUAUUAAUUAUUGCAUGAUAAUUGAUUGAAAGAUGCAAGCGCAUCACUAGUAGAUGGACCUGCGUUGUAUUAGCUAGUUGGUAAGGUAAGAGCUUACCAAGGCGACGAUACAUAGCCGACCUGAGAGGGUGAUCGGCCACACUGGGACUGAGACACGGCCCAGACUCCUACGGGAGGCAGCAGUAGGGAAUCUUCGGCAAUGGACGAAAGUCUGACCGAGCAACGCCGCGUGAGUGAAGAAGGUUUUCGGAUCGUAAAGCUCUGUUGUAAGUCAAGAACGUGUGUGAGAGUGGAAAGUUCACACAGUGACGG